rnacentral:hammerhead_ribozyme from 1 species
AUUUAGCUGACCAGUCCCAAAUAGGACUUAACGCACAUCCUGAAU